GAGGGUAGAGCUCAGUGGUAGAGCACUUGCUUAGCGUGCAUGAGGUCCUGGGUUCAAUCCCCAGUACCUCCU
rnacentral:tRNA from 1 species